rnacentral:rRNA from 1 species
UACGGGGGGGGCAAGCGUUGUUCGGAAUUACUGGGCGUAAAGGGCGCGUAGGCGGCCUUCUAAGUCAGACGUGAAAUCCCUCGGCUCAACCGAGGAACUGCGUCUGAUACUGGAAGGCUUGAAUCCGGGAGAGGGAUGUGGAAUUCCAGGUGUAGCGGUGAAAUGCGUAGAUAUCUGGAGGAACACCGGUGGCGAAGGCGGCAUCCUGGACCGGCAUUGACGCUGAGGCGCGAAAGCUAGGGGAGCAAACGGG